CACGUAGGGGGCAAGCGUUGUCCGGAUUUAUUGGGCGUAAAGAGCUCGUAGGCGGUUCGGUAAGUCGGGUGUGAAACCUCCAGGCUCAACCUGGAGACGCCACCCGAUACUGCUGUGACUAGAGUCCGGUAGGGGAGCGUGGAAUUCCUGGUGUAGCGGUGAAAUGCGCAGAUAUCAGGAGGAACACCGGUGGCGAAGGCGGAUCUCUGGGCCUGUCCUGACGCUGAGGCGCGAAAGCUAGGGGAGCGAACAGG
rnacentral:rRNA from 1 species